rnacentral:tRNA from 1 species
GUGGUGGUGGUUCAGUGGUAGGAAUUUCGCCUUCCAUGCGAGAGACCUGGGUUCAGUUCCUGGCCAAUCUA